rnacentral:rRNA from 1 species
CAGUCGCCACGGUAAUACGUAGGUGGCAAGCGUUGUCCGGAAUUAUUGGGCGUAAAGGGCUCGCAGGCGGUUUCUUAAGUCUGAUGUGAAAGCCCCCGGCUCAACCGGGGAGGGUCAUUGGAAACUGGGAAACUUGAGUGCAGAAGAGGAGAGUGGAAUUCCACGCGUAGCGGUGAAAUGCGUAGAGAUGUGGAGGAACACCAGUGGCGAAGGCGACUCUCUGGUCUGUAACUGACGCUGAGGAGCGAAAGCGUGGGGAGCGAACAGGAUUAGAUACCCGCGUAGUCCCUGUCUCUUAUAC